UACAGAGGGUGCAAGCAUUAAUCGGAAUUAUUGGGCGUAAAGGGCGCGUAGGCGGAUUUGUAAGUCAGAUGUGAAAUUCCGGGCUCAACCUCGGAGCUGCAUUUGAAACUGUGAGUCUAGAGGGUUGACGGAGAAAACGGAAUUCCAUGUGUAGCGGUGAAAUGCGUAGAUAUAUGGAAGAACACCAGUGGCGAAAGCGGUUUUCUAGUUAAUACCUGACGCUGAGGCGCGAGAGCAAGGGGAGCAAACAGGAUUAG
rnacentral:rRNA from 1 species